rnacentral:lncRNA from 1 species
CGCAAGUGGUGUCCCUCUUCUGGUCUCCUCUGCCUCUGUCCCUGCUUCCUUUACCUCCCCUGCGGAUGCCUCCGUCCCUCCUGCCUAAUUUGAUGACAAAUUUUGUAAUUUCUCUAGUUUGUAUAAAUUGAAUACUUACUUUUUGUUUUGGGGUGUAUAGCUCUGCCUCACUGGCAUAUUCAAGUGAAGUUUUUUCUUUCUUGCUUGUGCCGCUUUUCUCCCUUCAUUCUUUACGUUGUUCUUGCUGCUCGUUGAUGUUUGAGUUUAUAUUCCCGUCUUUCCCCUGCUGAUUUGAAUUGACUUGUUACGCUUGUUGUUGAUGCUUCUCUGAUCCCCUCCCUUGGGAUUUCUUUUGAUUUCUGCUAUAAGGAUUCCGUUGACUCUUCUAGCGAGAAUUGUGAUGACUCCUCUGGCGAGGAUUGUGAUGACUCCUCUGGCGAGGAUUGUG